rnacentral:tRNA from 1 species
GUUACAGUGGCCGAGUGGUUAAGGCGAUGCCCUGCUAAGUCUUUAUGGCGAGUGGUUAGGCAUUGGGUUCUGCCUGCGCAGGUUCGAAUCCUGUCUGUAACG